rnacentral:rRNA from 1 species
GUCGAACGAUGAGGCCCCUACGGGGGUACAUCAGUGGCAGACGGGUGAGUAACACGUAUGUAACCUGCCCUCGAGACGGGGAUAACGGCUGGAAACGGUCGCUAAGACCCGACAUAGUCUGACCUUCGGGAGAAUGUGAGAGGAAAGGCUUCGGUGCUCGGGGAGGGGCCUGCGGCCCAUCAGCUAGUUGGAGAGGUAACGGCUCCCCAAUGCAAUGACGGGUAUGGGGUGUGAGAGCAUGGCCCCCCACACUGGGACUGAGACACGGGCCAGACUCCUACGGGAGGCAGCAGCAGGGAAUAUUGCGCAAUGGACGGAAGUCUGACGCAGCGACGCCGCGUGGAUAGACGAAGGCCUUCGGGUUGUAAAAUCCUUUUCCGGGCGAUGAGGAAGGACACUAGCCUGGGAAUAAGCGUCGGCUAACUACGUGCCAGCAGCCGCGGUAAGACGUAGGACGCGAGCGUUAUCCGGAUUUACUGGGCGUAAAGCGCCUGCAGGCGGUCAGGUAAGUCGGUUGUGAAAGCCCCGUGCUCAACGCGUGGAGGCCAAGCGAUACUGCGUGACUUGAGGGCGGAAGAGGGGAGUGGAAUUCCCGGUGUAGCGGUAAAAUGCGCAGAUAUCGGGAGGAACACCAGUGGCGAAGGCGGCUCCCUGGACCGNACCUGACGCUCAGAGGCGAAAGCUAGGGGAGCGAACAGGAUUAGAGACCCUGGUAGUCCUAGCCCUAAACGCUGGAUGCUAGGUGUAGGGCUGAUGAGGCUCUGUGCCGGAGCGAACGCGAUAAGCAUCCCGCCUGGGAACUACGGCCGCAAGGCUAAAACUCAAACGAAUUGACGGGGACCCGCACAAGCAGCGGAGCGUGUGGUUUAAUUCGAUGCUACACGAAGAACCUUACCUGGGUUUGACAUGUUGGUGGUACCGAACCGAAAGGGGAGGGACCCUUCGGGGAGCCAACACAGGUGCUGCAUGGCUGUCGUCAGCUCGUGCCGUGAGGUGUCGGGUUAAGUCCCGUAACGAGCGCAACCCUUGCUCUUAGUUAUACGUGUCUAAGGGGACUGCCGGCGACAAGCCGGAGGAAGGUGGGGAUGACGUCAAGUCAGCAUGGCCUCGAUAUCCAGGGCUACACACACGCUACAAUGGCCGGUACAAAGGGCAGCCAAGC